ACCUAGAGGGUCCCGAAGAAUUUAAAAUUUAUGGAUGAAAGUGGGUAUCUGUUGUCUAGAAGAUGUGUAUCAUUUCUGAGGCAUGCCUAGGCUAUUAGAGAAUAACGGCUUGUACAUUCUGAGUUUGUUAUGAUUGUGUAGUGGAGGAGCUGGCAAUUUAUCGUCUAGUAGAUAAAAAACUUCAGAAGUCCCUCUGUGCG
rnacentral:lncRNA from 1 species